rnacentral:sRNA from 1 species
AGUCAAGCGUCUUUGGCACCGUUUUGGUGAGCGGGUUUCUUUUGCCGAUCGAAAGGUGAAGGAA